CAAUUCUCUCUGUACUCAAUUUGAAGCCGCCGUCACUCACAUAUUCUAACCUAGAAACUCAAAUUGGUUUCUCCCAUAGUUGAACUUGAUUUCUCUUAACCCAAAUCUUGUUUUUCACCACGAGAGACCGAAAUUGAUUUACCCAACAACCGAAAUUGAUUUACCCCACAACCGAAAUCGAUUUCUCUUAGAAUCAAAAUUGAUUUCUUUCAUAGUAAAAUUAACAGGUUACCCUUUUCUCUUAUUUGUAAAUCUGCAGAACCUUAAGUUUACUAUCUUUUUGUCUUCCACUAAAGCAGUUUGCUUUCUCUCUUUCAAUUGAGUUAAGUUUGCUUUAUCUGAUAUGUAUACUGGAAAAUAGUGUUAUGAGGUUUUGAAACAACUACCUCAAACUCCUAACUCUUGGUGAAGCAGUUAAUGACGAAAAACACAAUAAGACUCAUGUUGACCAAGUCCAAGAAGAUAAAGAAGAAGAAAGACAAAAGACUAGCCAACAGUGAAAUUAGAGCUCAAGAGAUCAAUUGUUUCGAAUAAUCUUUCCGGAGUUCGCCAAUUAAGUGAUGUUUGAACAAGCUUUGACAUGUCCAUUUUCAGAAACAAAGUUACAUUAUCUCACUAAUGUGACCAGGAGGUGAAAUUGUGUUCCCGGUUGCAGAGUUUAUUUUGUUAGCUUAUGAAUUGAUUCUGCUUACGGGAAUGUUGAAGCUGCAAGGGUUCUAAAAAAAGUAAUGACCUCUCUGAAUGUGCAAAAAAAGGUAGCAGAAAUGUACCAAUGAAGAUGAUGAAGAGAACGGCGGCGUAAGUGACGAGUUUCAAGAGGAAGACGCAAGUGAUGAGGAUGACGUAUGUGAUGAACUUCAAGAGGACGAAAUAGGUGAUGAAGAGGAUGAUGGAGAUAACAACGAAUUCGACAAACGUAAAUGAGUUGUAUGAUGUUGUUUUAGGCUUGUACUUAAGCAAUAAAACUUAAAGAAACUAUAUUUUGUUAUUUUGAGCUAAUGUUUUAAGAGAGUAUUAACACAACUUUUGUGGUACUUGUAAUUUAUAUUUAGUAAAAUUUUUGUUUAAAUUAUUUAUUUUAUGAAAAAUAUGGUAAAAACUAUUACAUGUAACUUAUAUAUUUGUUUACAAA